UUGCAUAAGAAGUAAAUGUAUUGAUCCAUGUCCAGGAACUUGCGGUCAAAAUGCAAACUGUCAAGUGGUUAAUCAUUUACCUUCUUGUGU